GAAUCUGCCCUCAGGAGGGGGAUAACGGUUGGAAACGACCGCUAAUACCCCAUAUGCCUAUUGGUGAAAUGAAUUUCGCCUGAGGAUGAGCUCGCGUCUGAUUAGCUAGUUGGUGAGGUAAUGGCUCACCAAGGCUUCGAUCAGUAGCUGGUCUGAGAGGAUGAUCAGCCACACUGGGACUGAGACACGGCCCAGACUCCUACGAGAGGCAGCAGUGGGGAAUUUUCCGCAAUGGGCGAAAGCCUGACGGAGCAACGCCGCGUGAGGGACGAAGGCCUCUGGGCUGUAAACCUCUUUUCUCAAGGAAGAAGAUAUGACGGUACUUGAGGAAUAAGCCACGGCUAAUUCCGUGCCAGCAGCCGCGGUAAUACGGGAGUGGCAAGCGUUAUCCGGAAUUAUUGGGCGUAAAGCGUCCGCAGGCGGCUUUUCAAGUCUGCUGUUAAAGCGUGGAGCUUAACUCCAUCAUGGCAGUGGAAACUGAAAGGCUUGAGUAUGGUAGGGGCAGAGGGAAUUCCCGGUGUAGCGGUGAAAUGCGUAGAUAUCGGGAAGAACACCAGUGGCGAAGGCGCUCUGCUGGGCCAUUACUGACGCUCAUGGACGAAAGCCAGGGGAGCGAAAGGGAUUAGAUACCCCUGUAGUCCUGGCCGUAAACGAUGAACACUAGGUGUCGGGGGAAUCGACCCCUUCGGUGUCGUAGCUAACGCGUUAAGUGUUCCGCCUGGGGAGUACGCACGCAAGUGUGAAACUCAAAGGAAUUGACGGGGGCCCGCACAAGCGGUGGAGUAUGUGGUUUAAUUCGAUGCAACGCGAAGAACCUUACCAGGGCUUGACAUCCUGCGAACCUUUAAGAAAUUAGAGGGUGCCUUCGGGAACGCAGUGACAGGUGGUGCAUGGCUGUCGUCAGCUCGUGUCGUGAGAUGUUGGGUUAAGUCCCGCAACGAGCGCAACCCACGUUUUUAGUUGCCAGCAUUUAGUUGGGCACUCUAGAAAGACCGCCGGUGAUAAACCGGAGGAAGGUGUGGAUGACGUCAAGUCAUCAUGCCCCUUACACCCUGGGCUACACACGUACUACAAUGCUACGGACAAAGGGCAGCAAACUCGCGAGAGCUAGCAAAUCCCAUAAACCGUGGCUCAGUUCAGAUCGUAG
rnacentral:rRNA from 1 species